rnacentral:rRNA from 1 species
UACGAAGGGGGCUAGCGUUGCUCGGAAUCACUGGGCGUAAAGCGCACGUAGGCGGAUCUUUAAGUCAGGGGUGAAAUCCCAAGGCUCAACCUUGGAACUGCCUUUGAUACUGGGGAUCUCGAGUCCGGAAGAGGUUGGUGGAACUGCGAGUGUAGAGGUGAAAUUCGUAGAUAUUCGCAAGAACACCAGUGGCGAAGGCGACUUAUGUGCACGUAUUGACGCUGAGGUGCGAAAGCGUGGGGAGCAAACAGGG